rnacentral:lncRNA from 1 species
AAGAACUGAAAUAGGAUCACAUAACUAAGAGAAUUAAUCAGAAAACAGAGAAUUACAUACUUGAAUUCUACUUUUCACUUAGCAACUAAAAAAUUUAGCUCAUUUGGAUCACUAUUGAUCCAAAUAUGACCUCAAAAUAUGAAUUACAAAUGAAGAAAAGAGAGGGAGAAAAUAGAGAGAGAAAGAGUUUCUAUUUCUAUUCUAAAAAAUGGAAAAAUGAAUUGAAG